rnacentral:rRNA from 1 species
AUACGGAGGGGGCUAGCGUUGUUCGGAAUUACUGGGCGUAAAGCGUACGUAGGCGGAUCAGAAAGUAUGGGGUGAAAUCCCAGGGCUCAACCCUGGAACUGCCUCAUAAACUCCUGGUCUUGAGUUCGAGAGAGGUGAGUGGAAUUCCGAGUGUAGAGGUGAAAUUCGUAGAUAUUCGGAGGAACACCAGUGGCGAAGGCGGCUCACUGGCUCGAUACUGACGCUGAGGUACGAAAGUGUGGGGAGCAAACAGGAUUAGAAACCCCUGUAGUCC